GGAAGUCGGGUAACCGAUGCAGGUGACUGGUACUAAUAGGCCGAGGACUUACCACAA
rnacentral:rRNA from 1 species